rnacentral:rRNA from 1 species
GACGAACGCUGGCGGCGUGCUUAACACAUGCAAGUCGAGCGAGGUCCAUCCGGUGGCAACACCGGUGAAGACCUAGCGGCGAACGGGUGAGUAACACGUGAGCAACCUGCCCCGAAGUCUGGGAUAACACCGGGAAACCGGUGCUAAUACCGGAUACCCCCACUGGGUCGCAUGGCCCGGUGAGGAAAGAACUGAGUCUAAUAAACUCAGCUUGCUUUGGGAGGGGCUCGCGGGCUAUCAGCUUGUUGGUGGGGUAACGGCCUACCAAGCGACGACGGCUAGCUGGUCUGAGAGGACGACCAGCCACACUGGGACUGAGACACGGCCCAGACUCCUACGGGAGGCAGCAGUGGGGAAUCUUGCGCAAUGGGCGAAAGCCUGACGCAGCAACGCCGCGUGGGGGAUGAAUGUCUUCGGAUUGUAAACCCCUUUCAGCAGGGACGAAACUGACGGUACCUGCAGAAGAAG